rnacentral:lncRNA from 1 species
CCACUUGGUAGUCUGGACACGAGGGAUAAUUGACCAAGCCCUCUACCAAAAAAAAAGAAGAAGCCCCGUCUCUCCCAAAUCCUCUGCGGGAUCUUCUCCUCCUCCAACGAAUCCUCCCCCCGCUCAGGUCGCCGUCCCCUGCAGCUCUCUUCCCUUUCUCUGCUGCCGACCUCUCCCUUUCUCUGCUGCUGACCUCUCUUCCCUUCCCCCUGCCGUUGUUCCUGCUUUGCCAGCCGCACUUGUCUUCCCGCGGUGAGGGGUCCGGAUCCGCACAGCCCGUGGUGAGGGAGCUGCCCUCCCCGCGGUGAGGGGACCGGAUCUGCGCCUGCCGUGGUUUGGGAGCCACGCAGCGUCUUCCUGAUCUGAAGGCCACCGGAGCUACCUGCGACACUGGAGGGAGCUUGGAGGCUCCACCGAUGGUGACCCUCCGAAGGUUUGUCUCUCCGUAUUUGGUCCAGCAACAUAUUUAUUUGAUUUUAGUUAUUUUAGCAUAUGUGAUGACAUGAACAAUCUUGAUUCGAUUAACUUUGUUGAAAGAAAUUUUAUGUGCUGUUAAUCUCAGAUCUGACCAAUAUUGCACUUAUGGUUCUCCAAAGAGAAUCAAGCAAACAGAUAUGAAUUGAGAGAUAAAAUUGUCAAUCUCUGGAUACAUUUAUAUUUCUCAUAUAUUUACAGUUUUAUUUUUGUACAUAUGACACAGCUAUCACUAUAUAUGUAGUUUCAUUGUGUUUCUUUCUCUCUGAAGCCCAAAGAUGUUACAACAUCUACUAGCGUAUUCUUGUUGAAUGUGUUUUUUUCUUUCAAUAUGAACUCACUAAUCAGCCGUUCUUAUGGUACUCUUUUAUUCCAGAUCAUUAUGAUGUAAAGAAAUGCCUUGCCAUCUGUUUUCUCUCCAAGCUAGCAAACAGCUGCCUACUGUUCUUGCAGGUUUGCUAUAAUCAAGAUGGUUGCGACCUUCUGUUCUACACAGAGAAUCACCAAUCUGCCUUCCAGAAACUUAAAUAAACAAUUUUCUGCAUAUUUCAGAUCAUGCAACGCUAACACCAUAGAUGAGUGCAAAUCUUGGACGACUGGAUCAGAUUUUGGAUCAUAUUCAGUUCUGGGAAGGUAAUAGCCUUGGUAUGUACUCCCCAAACUACUGGAACUUUCUUGUUACACUGGAAUUUCCUAUUUUACAAUGGCUUUGACGUUUGCAGACCAAAGUCAGAGAUGGAUUAUUUUUCCUUCAGAAUUUGUGUUUCUUUCUCUCUGAAGCCCAAAGAUGGUUACAACAUCUACUAGCGUAUUCUUGCUGAAUGUGUUUUUUUCAAUAUGAACUCACUAAUCAGUUGUUCUUAUGGUACUCUUUUAUUCCAGAUCAUUAUGAUGUAAAAAAAUGCCUUGCCAUCUGUUUUCUCUCCAAGCUAGCAAACAACUGCCCUACUGUUCUUGCAGGUUUGCUAUAAUCAAGAUGGUUGUGACCUUCUGUUCUACUCCCUCCGUUCCAUAAUUCUUGUCGAAAUAUUACAUGUAUCUAGACACUUUUUAGGAAUAGAUACAUCCAUUUUUAGGCAAAUUCGAGACAAGAAUUAUGGAACGUAGGGAGUAGAUCAUAUGCCUAGCUUUAUUGAGUUUUAUUGUAAUUACUAACUACUAACAGAGAAUCAUCAAUCUGCCUUCCAGAAUCUUAAAUAAACAAUUUUCUGCAUAUUUCAGAUCAUGCAACGCUAACACCAUAGAUGAGUGCAAAUCUUGUACAACUGGAUCAGAUUUUGGAUCAUAUUCAGUUCUGGGAAGGUAACAGCCUUGGUAUGUACUCCCCAAACCACUGGAACUUUCUUGGUACACUGGAAUUUCCUAUUUUACAAUGGCUUUGACGUUUGCAGACCAAAGUGAGAGAUGGAUUAUUUUUCUUCCGAAUUUGUGUCUCUGUGCAUUGUGGAAUUUGUCUGUUAUACAAGUGUAAUGCUGCUGAAAAUGUUUACCUUUAUUUUCAGGAGCUAAACUUUGUCUAUGUUAUUUUCAGGACCACAAUGCGAGCUCAGAUGUGUCUGUGAGUCUUGAAUAUGGAGCUUGCUGCAUAUCAGUUUAUCACUAAUGGGCAGCCAACAACAACUUGAAUCUGGAGUUGUUGUGUGUAUUUUUAAUACAAUCUUUUUGGCUAUAGUCUAGUUGACUUGCACAAAAUGUAGCUGCUGAUAUGAUGGUGUAUAAUACAUAUUUAUAUAUUAUUUGAAUGAAGGAUGAGAUCUGACUCAAUUUCAUGGUGUGUUUUUCAUUACUUCCGGUUUUGAUUUAUGCCUCCAAUUUGAAUUAUGUUCUAUUUGAAUUUGAAUUAUGGUUGAUAUGAAUUUAAA